GGAUGCGAUCAUACCAGCACUAAAGCACCGGAUCCCAUCAGAACUUCGAAGUUAAGCGUGCUUGGGCGAGAGUAUUACUAGGAUGGGUGACUUCCUGUGAAGUCCUCGUGUUGCAUUCC
rnacentral:rRNA from 2 species